rnacentral:rRNA from 1 species
UCCUACGGGAGGCAGCAGUGAGGAAUAUUGGUCAAUGGACGCAAGUCUGAACCAGCCAUGUCGCGUGUAGGAUGACUGCCCUAUGGGUUGUAAACUACUUUUUUACAGGAAUAAACUUUCCCACGAGUGGGAAACUGAAGGUACUGUAGGAAUAAGGAUCGGCUAACUCCGUGCCAGCAGCCGCGGUAAUACGGAGGAUUCGAGCGUUAUCCGGAUUUAUUGGGUUUAAAGGGUCCGUAGGCGGGCUUGUAAGUCAGUGGUGAAAUCUCACAGCUCAACUGUGAAACUGCCAUUGAUACUGCAGGUCUUGAAUUUAGUUGAGGUGGGCGGAAUACGAUAUGUAGCGGUGAAAUGCAUAGAUAUAUCGUAGAACACCGAUUGCGAAGGCAGCUCACUAAUCUAAUAUUGACGCUGAUGGACGAAAGCGUGGGGAGCGAACAGGAUUAGAUACCCUGGUAGUCCACGCCGUAAACGAUGAUCACUCGUUGUGCGCGAUACAUUGUGCGCGACUGAGCGAAAGCAUUAAGUGAUCCACCUGGGGAGUACGUUGGCAACAAUGAAACUCAAAUGAAUUGACGG